UAAUUCCAGCUCCAAUAGGGUAUAUUAAAGUUGUUGUGGUUAAAAAGCUCGUAGUUGAACCUUGGGCCUGGCUGGCCGGGUCCGCCUCACCGCGUGUACUGGUCCGGCCGGGCCUUUCCCUCUGUGGAACCCCAUGCCCUUCACUGGGUGUGGCGGGGAAACAGGACUUUUACUGUGAAAAAAUUAGAGUGCUCCAGGCAGGCCUAUGCUCGAAUACAUUAGCAUGGAAUAAUAGAAUAGGACGUGUGGUUCUAUUUUGUUGGUUUCUAGGACCGCCGUAAUGAUUAAUAGGGACAGUCGGGGGCAUCAGUAUUCAAUUGUCAGAGGUGAAAUUCUUGGAUUUAUUGAAGACUAACUACUGCGAAAGCAUUUGCCAAGGAUGUUUUCAUUAAUCAGGAACGAAAGUUAGGGGAUCGAAGACGAUCAGAUACCGUCGUAGUCUUAACCAUAAACUAUGCCGACUAGGGAUCGGACGGUGUUAUUUUUUGACCCGUUCGGCACCUUACGAGAAAUCAAAGUGCUUGGGCUCCAGGGGGAGUAUGGUCGCAAGGCUGAAACUUAAAGAAAUUGACGGAAGGGCACCACCAGGGGUGGAGCCUGCGGCUUAAUUUGACUCAACACGGGGAAACUCACCAGGUCCAGACACAAUGAGGAUUGACAGAUUGAGAGCUCUUUCUUGAUUUUGUGGGUGGUGGUGCAUGGCCCGUCUUAGUUGGUGGAGUGAUUUGUCUGCUUAAUUGCGAUAACGAACGAAACCUUAACCUGCUAAAUAACCCGUAUUGGUUUUGCAAGUACGCUGGCUUCUUUAAAAGGACUAUUGGCUUAAGCCCAUUGGAAUUU
rnacentral:rRNA from 1 species